UGGGGAAUAUUGGACAAUGGGCGCAAGCCUGAUCCAGCAAUGCCGCGUGAGUGAUGAAGGCCUUAGGGUUGUAAAGCUCUUUCGCACGCGACGAUGAUGACGGUAGCGUGAGAAGAAGCCCCGGCUAACUUCGUGCCAGCAGCCGCGGUAAUACGAAGGGGGCUAGCGUUGUUCGGAAUUACUGGGCGUAAAGGGCGCGUAGGCGGCCUGUUUAGUCAGAAGUGAAAGCCCCGGGCUCAACCUGGGAAUAGCUUUUGAUACUGGCAGGCUUGAGUUCCGGAGAGGAUGGUGGAAUUCCCAGUGUAGAGGUGAAAUUCGUAGAUAUUGGGAAGAACACCGGUGGCGAAGGCGGCCAUCUGGACGGACACUGACGCUGAGGCGCGAAAGCGUGGGGAGCAAACAGAUUAGAUACCCUGGUAGUCCACGCGUAAACGAUGAAUGCUAGACGUCGGGGUGCAUGCACUUCGGUGUCGCCGCUAACGCAUUAAGCAUUCCGCCUGGGGAGUACGGCCGCAAGGUUAAAACUUAAAGGAAUUGACGGGGUCAUAGCUGUUUCCU
rnacentral:rRNA from 1 species